UACGGAGGGUGCGAGCGUUUGUCCGGAUUUAUUGGGUUUAAAGGGUGCGUAGGUGGCGCCGUAAGUCAGGUGUGAAAUUUCGGAGCUUAACUCCGAAACUGCAUUUGAUACUGCGGUGCUUGAGGACUGGAGAGGAGACUGGAAUUCACGGUGUAGCAGUGAAAUGCGUAGAUAUCGUGAGGAAGACCAGUGGCGAAGGCGGGUCUCUGGACAGUUCCUGACACUGAGGCACGAAGGCCAGGGGAGCAAACAGG
rnacentral:rRNA from 1 species